AUUGAACGCUGGCGGCAUGCCUUACACAUGCAAGUCGAACGGCAGCGGACCUUCGGGUGCCGGCGAGUGGCGAACGGGUGAGUAAUAUAUCGGAACGUACCUUUCAGUGGGGGAUAACGUAGCGAAAGUUACGCUAAUACCGCAUAUUCUGUGAGCAGGAAAGCAGGGGAUCGCAAGACCUUGCGCUGAUUGAGCGGCCGAUAUCAGAUUAGCUAGUUGGUGAGGUAAAGGCUCACCAAGGCGACGAUCUGUAGCGGGUCUGAGAGGAUGAUCCGCCACACUGGAACUGAGACACGGUCCAGACUCCUACGGGAGGCAGCAGUGGGGAAUUUUGGACAAUGGGCGCAGGCCUGAUCCAGCCAUGCCGCGUGAGUGAAGAAGGCCUCGGUUGUAA
rnacentral:rRNA from 1 species